rnacentral:rRNA from 1 species
CACUCCUGCGGGAGGCAGCAGUGGGGAAUUUUGGACAAUGGGCGAAAGCCUGAUCCAGCAAUGCCGCGUGUGUGAAGAAGGCCUUCGGGUUGUAAAGCACUUUUGUCCGGAAAGAAAUCCUUGGCUCUAAUACAGUCGGGGGAUGACGGUACCGGAAGAAUAAGCACCGGCUAACUACGUGCCAGCAGCCGCGGUAAUACGUAGGGUGCGAGCGUUAAUCGGAAUUACUGGGCGUAAAGCGUGCGCAGGCGGUUUGCUAAGACCGAUGUGAAAUCCCCGGGCUCAACCUGGGAACUGCAUUGGUGACUGGCAGGCUAGAGUAUGGCAGAGGGGGGUAGAAUUCCACGUGUAGCAGUGAAAUGCGUAGAGAUGUGGAGGAAUACCGAUGGCGAAGGCAGCCCCCUGGGCCAAUACUGACGCUCAUGCACGAAAGCGUGGGGAGCAAACAGGAUUAGAUACCCCGGUAGUCCCAUGA